rnacentral:misc_RNA from 1 species
GAGCCUAAACUUGGAAAGAUGCUCAUAUUAGUUGCUGGCCUUAUUGUUAGAGAUCCUUCCUUGAAACCAGUGGAUGAGAAGGAUGUAAGUCACUUCUUAAUUCUUUUGUUGCUUAGCGAAGCUUGCAUGCUCUCUAUGCUUCAGUAAGGAUAGCAACAGAAGAAUCAACUUAAUCUGAUGAAUGUUGUAAUUUUGUUUAUCUAUUUCUGUUAGAAGGCCUAAGAACUUUGACAAGUGAUAACACUAAACCAAUAUGGGCAAAGACACCCCAGAGUCCCAGACUGGUGCUAGGAGUGCUAUCUGCCACUAGACCUAGUGGGGGAGUUAAAAUAUUGAAUUCUU